AAAAAAUCAAAUUUUAAAGUUGUAAAAAACUUCACUGGCGGGCACUGUGAUGUCAUAUUACAAUAUUUCGUUUAUGGGAAAAACCUGGCCUAUCGUUUAUUGGUACACUUUUUGACAGAUAAGCAAGUAAAACGUUUUUUAAGGUAUUAACAAUACUUUAAAUGGCUUCAGCAACUUAUUGGAAGUUACUUCCUAGAAAAUAGUGUUUAACCACACAAAACAGCCUACAGAAACUAGUUUUUGUGACUUUCAAGGAUUCAGAUAUUAAAUUCUAUUCGUUUUUUUCCAUAUUCCAUAGACAAAAUAAGAAAAUAUAUAUAACGGUAAUUAAAGUUACCAUAUGGGAGUUAACUAUAAGUCGAGUAAUCAUGCCUGAUUGGUGCUGUGUUAAAAAUAGCAAGACAAGAAUGACUGUAAAGCCAUACAUAUAUAUAUAAUUUUUUUUAUUUCCAGGGAAGAGUAAAGCUUAAAAAGAAGCAAGCUACAUUACAUCGGUCAUUUCAUGAUUGCGGUGCACAUUUUACUUCAGACGUUUUUACUAUUACAUGUUCGAUGUUCACAACAGGAUAUGUAAGGAAACUUGUCGGAUCAAGUAGGCGAAGCAGAAUUUAUUUGGAGACUGCAGAAGAACACAGAAGAAACAAUUCUUCUGUCAUUCCCGUACCGAUCGAACAAAGUUCUCAUCAACUGUGCAGCGAUACUGUCUAAGCAAACUAAACGCCAUAAAAAUGUGAUUGAUCAUCUUUUUUGGUACAAAGACCAACAAUAAACACUAUCUUAGCGUAAAUUGA